CCUACGGGUGGCAGCAGUGGGGAAUAUUGGACAAUGGGGGGAACCCUGAUCCAGCCAUGCCGCGUGUGUGAAGAAGGCCCUCGGGUUGUAAAGCACUUUCAGUGAGGAAGAACGCCUGGUGGUUAAUACCCAUCAGGAAAGACAUCACUCACAGAAGAAGCACCGGCUAACUCCGUGCCAGCAGCCGCGGUAAUACGGAGGGUGCGAGCGUUAAUCGGAAUUACUGGGCGUAAAGCGCGCGUAGGUGGCUUGAUAAGCCGGUUGUGAAAGCCCCGGGCUCAACCUGGGAACGGCAUCCGGAACUGUCAAGCUAGAGUGCAGGAGAGGAAGGUAGAAUUCCCGGUGUAGCGGUGAAAUGCGUAGAGAUCGGGAGGAAUACCAGUGGCGAAGGCGGCCUUCUGGACUGACACUGACACUGAGGUGCGAAAGCGUGGGUAGCAAACAGGAUUAGAUACCCCAGUAUC
rnacentral:rRNA from 1 species